rnacentral:RNase_P_RNA from 1 species
ACGGAUGGCUGGACGGUCGCUGAUGGUUGAUGAAGCCGCCAUCGGAGGAAAGUCCGGACUCCACAAAGCAACGGUGCCGGGUAACGCCCGGCCGGGGCAAUCCGAGGGAAAGCGCCACAGAGAACAGACCGCCCGGAAAUUCCGGGCAAGGGUGAAACGGUGGGGUAAGAGCCCACCGCGGUCCGGGCAACCGGACCGGCAUGGCAAGCCCCACCGGGAGCAAUGCCGAAUAGGGAUCCCGCGCGGCGUGUCCGCGGAGAGGCUUUGGCUCCGGGGAUCCGGGUAGGCAGCAACAGGCGUCUGGAGACAGGCGUCGAAGAUGAAUGGCCGUCCAACGGCGGUGACCGCCGCCGGGGACAGAAUCCGGCUUACAGGCCGUCCGUGCGU